CUGUGGUCUAUUCUGAUCCUUAAUUGCUUAGCUAUGUCAUUUACCCAUGUUUCUGUUUACUAUGUAUUAAAAUGGGUAGUACUGUUUACUUAACUACCUCACAGAUGUGUUAAGGCAUAGUACAUUAAAUUUCAUGAACUGUUUCUCAGUCUCACUUCAAGCCUCAGAAAUUUGAACCUAUUUGUACCACAGUGUGAUACUCAGAAUUUUAUUCACACCAGGCUUUGAUAAUUAAACUGGAAAAUGAAGUUUAAACAGCCCUUUUGUGGAUCUGGCCAGAUAACACUCAGAAUUCAUGUGGCUACUAUUUUAGUGAAAAUGGAUGGGGGUGGGUUUGUUUCAAAAAGUCCAAGGAUCUUUUUUUCCUCUGAUAUUCUAGAUGAACAUAUUGUAGUAAAUAGUAUAGAGAUUAUGGGCCUAAAGUGGUAAUAAGACCAUUUUGGGGAGGGGAAUGCCAUUGAGUUUGAGACUUUAGAGCCACAUUUAAAAUACCUCAGGCUAAUUACUGUUAAUUUGGGGGGGAAUGAACUUAUUUUUGAUAGUGAGAGUGGACUAAUUCAAGAGAAAGUUCUAGAGUUCCUGCUGUUAAUAAAAUUACUUUGAGUUGAUACAUUUUUACAGGUGAUAGUUUUCUUUUUGAAAAUUUAGUAUUAAGGACUUAAAAUGUGAACACAUUUGUGUGGAACUAUCCAUACCUCUUGAGAAUCUUAACUACUGGAAAUCCUUAACCAAUCACAGUAGUUUUUUUCCUUUUUAUUUUCAGAAUUUUGAUUAGACAUCCUGUGAUGAUAUUUUUGUACCCAUAUUUCAUCUAAACAUAGCUUUUUCUGAUCUUUAAAAUUUUAAUCUAAAGAUAGAAUCCCAUUUUUAAUUAACUUAAAGAAGUGACAAAAUCACUUUUUCUUGUUCCUUUAGGAAACAGCUAUUGCCAGAGUGAAGAGGUAGAUGAUAUUUCAUCUUGUUACGUAAUGGGGUUGUAGUUUGCAGAGGAAUUGUUUUCUUUGUAAAAUUUGAAUUUCAAGGGAUGUCAGUGUUCAUUUAUGCCAUUUCUUCAUUCCAAGAUGGUUCUAUUCCAUUUUAGAAAUUUGAAAUAUGUAAUUUGAAAUCCUUAAAUAAAAUUUGGACUUAAUUUUAUAAAAUAUUCUGGUAACAUUUGGAUUUUUUAAAAGAAUAUGAAUAUACACUGCUGUUUUUGAAGAUUGAAGAGCAGAGAUGUCUAAACAGGCUUUGACCUGUAAAUCUGUGUAAUUACGAGAACAACCUCCUUAUCCCUGCUAAGUAGAGUUCUUUGAAAACUAGAAAGAUAUUCUGCAGUUCCUGAAGGAUUUUAUUCUUGGUUAUCUACAGACAUUCUUGACACGUCAGAGUUUCUCUUUACAUACUCCAGUUUUAGUUUCCACUGACCCCAUUCUCUGACUUAUCAGUAAGUUCUAGAAAUGCUAAAAAUCCC
rnacentral:lncRNA from 1 species